rnacentral:rRNA from 1 species
GACGAACGCUGGCGGCGUGCUUAACACAUGCAAGUCGAACGAUGAAGAAAAGAAUUGAAGCUUCGGCAGAAAUUCAUUUCGGAUUAGUGGCAGACGGGUGAGUAACGCGUGAGCAACCUACCUCUUACAAAGGGAUAGCCUCGGGAAACCGGGAUUAAUACCAUAUAACAUUGCGACGAAGCAUUUCGAUGCAAUCAAAGCUACGGCGGUAAGAGAUGGGCUCGCGUCCCAUUAACCAGAUGGUGAGGUAACGGCUCACCAUAGUAACGAUGGGUAACCGGCCUGGGAGGGUGAACGGUCACACUGGAAAUGAGACACGGUCCAGACUCCUACGGGAGGCAGCAGUGGGGAAUAUUGCACAAUGGAGGGAACUCUGAUGCAGCGACGCCGCGUGAGUGAUGAAGGAAUUCGUUUCGUAAAACUCUGUUCUAUGGGAAGAAAAGGACUGUACCAUAGGAGAAAGCUCCGGCUAAAUACGUG